CCUGACCCAGCAGCCGCGCGGUGUGCUCUCUUGUCGUGAUUGAUGCCGUAAGUGACCAGCAGCUGUUGAAAACACCAACAGGAGGCCUUCAACUUUACUUCUUCAGUUUUAAUUAAAUCCUCCUCCUCUGUGUUUAUUAUCUAAGUCAACCUGUAACAUUAAAGUUACUACUAGUAGUCAGCAUCCGGCUGAAAGUCACCAGAUAAUAACACGGUCAGCUGUUAGAAGGAAACACCUGAAACACCUGAAACACCUGAGGAAGCUGAGCAGCAGGUAGAAGAGUUCAGCCUCAACCAAGACCUUCUUCUCCUUCCUGAGGACAGUUUCUCCUCAACAAGAACCAGCCUGGAGCUCGUUGUCUCUGGUUCAACACCAAGACCUCUCCUGCUGUCAUCAUCUAAAGACUCAGAAGAAACCACACCCAGUGCAACCAGAGGAGCCCAUCCCAAAACUAAAGUCCAGUCUGUUUAGAUUCACUUCCUCUACAUCUGGAACAACAGCACAGAGACAACAUCUGAGGAGAUCUACCAUCACGGUCCGGUCCAGAUGAGGACCCAGACUUGUAUCCUGCGACGCACCGAGAAGUUCACAGCUCGUCAGGCCCACACAGCCCGCCAGCCGGCACUGUAGCGAGACACAAAGAGUCCUCCUUCCAAGCUUCUCCUCCCACUGGAAUCACAUGCUUUCACCCCCCCGACUCCACACUUCUUUGCAUCUCCUCCUCCCUGCCAUCCUGCAGUGCUUUAAAAAUCACAUGACUCCACAUGGCCUGACUAGCUGCUAAUGAAGCAGUGUGUUGUGUGUGUUGUGAGGCCUUACUCUGCCG